CCAGAUGGCUGGAUGACCGCGGGGUUAUCGUAUGUCGCAGCGAGGCUAAACCUCUAACGCGGCCCAAUCAAUCCCGAGGAAAGUCCGGACUCCAGGGAAACGGUGGCGGGUAACGCCCGCCGAGCGUGAGCUUAGGGAAAGUGCCACAGAGAACAAACCGCCAACUUCGGUUGGUAAGGGUGAAAAGGUGCGGUAAGAGCGCACCGCGUUGCUGGUAACAGUGACGGCAUGGUAAACCCCACCGGGAGCAAGACCAAAUAGGCGCACAUCAAGGCUGUCCCGGCCGUGCGCGGGUAGGUUGCUUGAGCGUAUGAGCAAUCAUACGCCUAGAUGAAUGGUCAUCGACAACAGAAUCCGGCUUACGGGCCAUCUGGCGAG
rnacentral:RNase_P_RNA from 1 species